rnacentral:misc_RNA from 1 species
UUAAGUUCAGCGGGUGCCUACCUGAUUCGAGGCCAAAAUGAGAUGAAAACGAUUGUCCUCGCGGACGGUUAGAAGCCGUUUGAUCCCCGGUCCAGCGCCUCGCGGCAUCGACGUAGAUGUGAUUAUCACGCCGAAAACUGAAGUCGGGAGACAGCUGAUGCAUUUGAGACGAGCCGAACCCGUUGGGAGCCCAGCAACGU